rnacentral:rRNA from 1 species
CCUACGGGAGGCAGCAGUAAGGAAUAUUGGUCAAUGGAGGCAACUCUGAACCAGCCAUGCCGCGUGCAGGAAGACAGCCCUCUGGGUCGUAAACUGCUUUUAUUCGGGAAUAAACCUUAUUACGUGUAAUAGGCUGAAUGUACCGAAGGAAUAAGGAUCGGCUAACUCCGUGCCAGCAGCCGCGGUAAUACGGAGGAUCCAAGCGUUAUCCGGAUUUAUUGGGUUUAAAGGGUGCGUAGGCGGCUUAUUAAGUCAGGGGUGAAAGCGGUGGCUCAACCAUCGCAGUGCCUUUGAUACUGAUGAGCUUGAAUGAACUAGAGGUAGCGGAAUGUGACAAGUAGCGGUGAAAUGCAUAGAUAUGUCACAGAACACCGAUUGCGAAGGCAGCUUACUAUGGUUUUAAUUGACGCUGAGGCACGAAAGCGUGGGGAUCGAAACAGGAUUAGAUACCCUGGUAGUCCACGCCCUAAACGAUGAAUACUCGCUGUUAGCGAUAUACUAGUUAGUCGGCGUACGACGAAGACGUUAAGUUAAUUACCUACCGUACGGGGUAGGUACCGGCCCGCCGAAGGGUAGGAACGUACGAAAGAAGUAGUAGACGACGUAGAGACGACGACGACGACGACGACGGAGGGAGGAGG